rnacentral:rRNA from 1 species
AUUGAACGCUGGCGGCAUGCUUUACACAUGCAAGUCGAACGGCAGCGCGGGCUUCGGCCUGGUGGCGAGUGGCGUACGGGUGAGUAAUACACCGGAACGUGCCCUGCCGGGGGGGAUAGGAUGGCGAAAGCCGGCGUUAUACAGCAUACGACCUGAGGGUGAAAGCGGGGGUAUUUCCGAAAACGCGCCAUUGGCGCCGCUGAGGGCAGAUUAUCCAGUUGGUGGGGUAAAGGCCUACGAAGGGGACGAUCUGUAGCAGGUCUGAGAGGACGACGACCCACACGGGAACUGGGACACGGCCCGGACCCCUACGGGAGGCGGCGGAGGGGAAUUUUGGACAUGGGGCGAAGGCCUGAUCCAGAAAUGCCGCGGGGUGGAUGAGGGCCUUCGGGUGGUAAAGCACUUUUGGCGGGAACGAAAAGGGCGGUGCCAAUACCACGGUUCGAUGACGGUACCCGAAGAAUAAGCAACGGCUAACUACGUG